UUCGGCGCUCUUCCUCUACUCCUUCCUAAACCCUUAAUCCAAGAUAUUUCCCCAAAAUUUCACCAAAGUGGGAGUUAAAACACUAUUGAGCGCCAGAAAUUUCAGGUCACCGCGCCUCUCCCUCAAUUCCUACUCUCUUGUGAACUGCCCUGCCCUUUUGAAGAAGAUCAAUCGGUGAUUUGAUUAGCGGCAAGUCUCUGAUGAGGCAUUUCUUCUUUUAUCAUUGAAUACUUUAUCUAAUUUUCCGCUUUUCUCAAGUUCGUUUCGGACCAUGAAUUUCUAGGGUUUAAAUACGCUGAUUAUAGUUUGAUUAGUCUUCUGUGUUUGAAUUUGAUUCUUAUUUCUGAGGAAAUACGUUCUCUGCUUCAUUGUCAUGAUUUUUGGUUUUAAUUUUGUGUAUGUAAAAAUUAUAAUGAGUUUUUAUAUAUGCUGGGUUGUUAUCGGGGCCUCAAGCAGGUGAGUCGAUUUCCAACUUCUGAAGUUUGAAUUUUGUUAUUGAUUGAAUACGAUCUACUGUAUUAUCGCUCUUUGAGCAAAUUGAAGUUGUUGAUUUUUUUUCUUCUGAAAAUGCAAAAGUUCAUGUUUCAAUUGUUUCUAGUUUUUGUUAAUUUUGAAGGUUUAGUUAGAAUCUGAAGCAAUUUAUUGAUCUGACCGACUUGAAUUUCAAACUUUAGCUUUUUGCUUAAAUUUAGAUUUAGAAUGCUGUCAGAAAUAGAGCAAAGUUCACCAAUUCUGAAGGUUCUACUGGUAUCUAUUGCAAUUAACAGAACUACUCGACUUUGAAUUUCAGUUAUUUAGGGUUUUGCUUAUCAUUUAUUCAUGAAUUACAACUGUGUUGGAAAUGACGAUGAAAUCCGUUAUAAGUUCAUUACAGUUGAAGGUUCAACUAGGUUUUGAAGCUAUUUACUGAUUUAUUCAAUUUGAAUUUCAAACUAUAUGAUCAGAGUUGACCAUAGUUAAAUUUCUGCUAUUUGUUGUAUUUGUUUAGCUUGUGUAUAUCAUUAUCUCAUCUGAAAAUUUAUGGCAGGUGAAUUCAUUUAGACUAGACUUUAAAAAUGAAAAUAUUGAUGGUAUAAAGAUCAUGGAUCCAUGCGGUAUAACAUCCUGCAUAUUAUCAAGUAUAGCUCAAUCUAAUCACUGACAUAGGUAAAACAAUUCUACAUAUUAUCAAGUAUUGUCAUAGAGGUUAAAUUGCCUCGGUGACCCUUGAGCCUUUUUAUACAUUGCCUGACAGUUAUGUUGUUUAUGUAAAAUUAUAUCUGAUUUGAGCCUUUGGAUGUCACAAAUAAAAUUAUUUCCAGAACAUGUAUUGCAGCAAGGUAAGACUCUUUCAUUUUAGCAAUUGGGCAAGAAGAAAUUAUCAAACUCUUCACAUACUACCAGCUCUAUAAUCUUUCUUUUAGUUUAUUGCACUGAAGUUGCUGACAAUCAAUUGUUUUUGAUUUGUGGGCUUCAUUAUUAAACUCAUAAACACAUAAUAGGUGAGUUCUAAUAUCCAGAGAAUUGGUUGGGUAUGAAGAAGUAAAUUACUUCCUUCCUCAGAUGUUGAUCUCGAGUUAGUGCAGAAUUCCUCAUUUCAGGGAAGAAUUAAGUUGUUCUGCUAUUAGUCAACCACAUGCUUGGAUGUAAAUUACCUUGAAAAAACGAACUUGAACAUCAGUAAUCAGGAAAGGGUUUCCAUUGGGACUGAAGUAGUCUGUCAUUCAAAAGAACACACUAUAGGAAAUAUGGUUGGAGAAGCAAGCGUCACAUAUGAACUUCCAACAAUUUGGUGCCAAACAGGAAACUGGAUUUAUGACAGAAACUUUGUGAUUAGUUUUACACCGCCACUGAGGAAUGAGAGGGCCAAGAGGCUCCCAAGAGACACGAACUAGCCAGCAGUAGUAUCACAGUUUCUUCUAGAAGGCUUGUGGUCCUUUCAGAUGGCACUCAGGCCACUCAAAGUGUAGCCCUAGAAACUUCUAUUUCUCCCCCUACCUUGGUUCAAGGGUCGUUGGCUACUCAAGGAAACCUGAGACCACUGCUGCUAUCUGGUGACUUUUUCCUUGGAGCUGACUUCACAAAUACCUGCUGUCGAGGACUAAAAGUGCUGCAAAGGAUGGUUGAAGCAUAGUAGAAGUGUGGAAAUUUCAGUUUGUAAAAACUAGUUUUGACCAAAGUUGACCUUAGUUGACUAUGCUAGUUUUUUGGGUUUCUUUGGUAUUUUUUGUUUUUUUGUCUUCUCGUUAAUAUUUUUUUCUUUGUUUAGCUUUGGUAGGCUACUGUAUUUCAUCAAGACCGCAUUUUGUUGCGUGACUAGGUUUGGUUGAGCGUGUAUAAACAUUACUUCAUUUUUUGGUUAAUAAAAU